rnacentral:ncRNA from 1 species
UAUAUUUGCGGCUCAUUCCUGAAAAUCAGGUGUGCUACAUAAAAAUUAUUUAAAAAAAUAUUGGAAUG